rnacentral:tRNA from 1 species
GGGAUUGUAGUUCUAAUGGGAGAAUAACUGCUUUGCAAGCAGAAGGUUGUGGGUUCAAAUCCCACCAGUUCCA